rnacentral:rRNA from 1 species
CCUACGGGAGGCAGCAGUGAGGAAUAUUGGGCAAUGGGCGUAAGCCUGAACCAGCCAAGUCGCGUGAGGGAUGAAGGUCCUAUGGAUCGUAAACCUCGUUUAUAAGGGAAUAAAGUGCGGGACGUAUCCCGUUUUGUAUGUACCUUAUGAAUAAGGAUCGGCUAACUCCGUGCCAGCAGCCGCGGUAAUACGGAGGAUCCGAGGGUUAUCCGGAUUUAUUGGGUUUAAAGGGUACGUAGGCGGCCUUUUAAGUCAGGGGUGAAAUCCUGUGGCUCAACCAUAGAAUUGCCGUUGAAACUGGGAGGCUUGAGUAUGUUUGAGGCAAGCGGAAUGCGUGGUGUAGGGGUGAAAUGCUUAGAUAUCACGCAGAACACCGAUUGCGAAGGCAGCCUGCCAAGCCAUGACUGACGCUGAUGAACGAAAGCGUGGGGAUCAAACAGGAUUAGAUACCCGUGUAGUC